rnacentral:rRNA from 1 species
AAUAGUGGCGCACGGGUGCGUAACGCGUAACCAACCUACCCGAAUCUGGGGGAUAGCCCGCCGAAAGGCGGAUUAAUACCGCAUAAAACUGCAGCCUGGCAUCGGGUAACAGUUAAAGAUUUAUUGGAUUCGGAUGGGGUUGCGUGCCAUUAGCUAGUUGGCGGGGUAACGGCCCACCAAGGCGACGAUGGCUAGGGGAGCUGAGAGGCUGGUCCCCCACACGGGCACUGAGAUACGGGCCCGACUCCUACGGGAGGCAGCAGUAGGGAAUAUUGGGCAAUGGUCGAGAGACUGACCCAGCCAUGCCGCGUGCAGGAUGAAGGCUUUCUGAGUCGUAAACUGCUUUUACCAGGGAAGAAAAAAGGGGAUGCGUCCUCUACUGACGGUACCUGGUGAAUAAGCACCGGCUAACUCCGUGCCAGCAGCCGCGGUAACACGGAGGAUCCAAGCGUUAUCCGGAUUUAUUGGGUUUAAAGGGUGCGUAGGCGG